UAACUCCGGUUGAUCCUGCCGGACCCCACUGCUAUCGGGAUGGGACUAAGACAUGCUAGUCGUGCGCUUCCUAGCCACGGUGGAAGCGCGGCGCACAGCUCAGUAGCACGUGGCUAACCUGCCCUUGGGACGGGGACAACCCCGGGAAACUGGGGCUAAUCCCCGAUAGGUGAAGAACUCUGGAAUGAGUCUUCACUGAAAGGGCGCUUAGACCACGCAUUAAGCGCUGCCCAAGGAUGGGGCCGCGGCCGAUCAGGUUGUUGGUGAGGUAACGGCUCACCAAGCCUAUAACCGGUGCGGGCCGUGAGAGCGGGAGCCCGGAGAUGGGCACUGAGACAAGGGCCCA
rnacentral:rRNA from 1 species